rnacentral:lncRNA from 1 species
AUGUUUGAAUCACUUUGAACUGACUUGAGGAUGAUUUUUAAAAUUCUCAUUCCAGAUCGAGACCAUGUCAGCAUAGAUUUAGCUUCAGAUGAAAUUUAGCAGAUGGUGUUAUGUUUAGGGAUAAAAAAGGACCAACUUGAAGUGGCAAUUGGAGAUGUGGAAUGGAGUUCACCAUACACGGAGAUAUGAAACAAAAGAUUAAGAAAGGAAAAAAUCAUAUUGGUAAUUCGAUCGGGAACCAUGAAAUUGAAAACUGAAUUCUUUGAAAACCCCGGUUUGAUGAAGACACUUUCAGGUAAGAAUUUCAUUUGCCACUGGUUUGAGUCAUAAGUGAGUAUACAUAUAUAUGUGUUACA